GACGAACGCUGGCGGCGUGCUUAACACAUGCAAGUCGAACGGAAAGGCCCUGCUUUUGUGGGGUGCUCGAGUGGCGAACGGGUGAGUAACACGUGAGUAACCUGCCCUUGACUUUGGGAUAACUUCAGGAAACUGGGGCUAAUACCGGAUAGGAGCUCCUGCUGCAUGGUGGGGGUUGGAAAGUUUCGGCGGUUGGGGAUGGACUCGCGGCUUAUCAGCUUGUUGGUGGGGUAGUGGCUUACCAAGGCUUUGACGGGUAGCCGGCCUGAGAGGGUGACCGGCCACAUUGGGACUGAGAUACGGCCCAGACUCCUACGGGAGGCAGCAGUGGGGAAUAUUGCACAAUGGGCGGUGGCCUGAUGCAGCAACGCCGCGUGCGGGAUGACGGCCUUCGGGUUGUAAACCGCUUUCGCCUGUGACGAAGCGUGAGUGACGGUAAUGGGUAAAGAAGCACCGGCUAACUACGUG
rnacentral:rRNA from 1 species